rnacentral:rRNA from 1 species
AUUGAACGCUGGCGGCAGGCCUAACACAUGCAAGUCGAGCGGAUGAAGGGAGCUUGCUCCUGGAUUCAGCGGCGGACGGGUGAGUAAUGCCUAGGAAUCUGCCUGGUAGUGGGGGAUAACGUCCAGAAACGGGCGCUAAUACCGCAUACGUCCUGAGGGAGAAAGUGGGGGAUCUUCGGACCUCACGCUAUCAGAUGAGCCUAGGUCGGAUUAGCUAGUUGGUGGGGUAAAGGCCUACCAAGGCGACGAUCCGUAACUGGUCUGAGAGGAUGAUCAGUCACACUGGAACUGAGACACGGUCCAGACUCCUACGGGAGGCAGCAGUGGGGAAUAUUGGACAAUGGGCGAAAGCCUGAUCCAGCCAUGCCGCGUGUGUGAAGAAGGUCUUCGGAUUGUAAAGCACUUUAAGUUGGGAGGAAGGGCAGUAAGUUAAUACCUUGCUGUUCUGACGUUACCAACAGAAUAAGCACCGGCUAACUUCGUG